ensembl:lncRNA
CAACAUCCAGAUGUUUUUAAUUACAAAUUCCAACUUUCAGAUCCCAAUUUGGACUUUUUAAAUUCUAAAUCACAACAAAUUUGGCUGUUUUUAGUUCCUAAUUCAAACUUUCAGAUUCAAAAUAUGGAUGUUUUAAAUUGCAAACUCCCAUUUUCAGGUACCGAUUUUGGACGUUUUUAAUUACAAGUUCCAAAUUAUUUAAUUCCAAAUUGCAAACCAUUUAUGUCUAAAAGCUUUAAUAUAAAGCUUACUGUGGUAUUACAAUGUUUUUUGGACAGUGUACCUGGUAAAUGAAUAUGUUAAUCAUUUAGUACCAUGGUAGAUAUCACCACUUUUUACUAUGCCAUCAUUUACUACUACCACCAGUUUACUAUGGUAUUUCCACAAUAGCAUAAGAGUUGUACACGUUUUGACAUUCUUGUUGUUUUAUUGUAAAAUUUCCCUUUAAUUUUCAGCAUUUCUGCCUUUGAGGAUGGACAUUUGGGAAAUGUACUGUAGGCCAGGACAUCAAGGAAGAUAUAUGCUUCUCUUAUAUAUUGUGUUGUGAGGAAAUGUCUCAUAAGUGCCUGAACCUGAAGGCUAAACCUACAGGAUCUAGAGUUAGCAUUAGCUUGGGACUUCGCUGGGUAAGUUAAAAGCAUAUGAAGUUCAGACUUUUCAUGAUAACAUUGUGACUGUAAUGCAGUAAUUUGAAUGAAAGUGUUUGUCAGACAAAUAAUAGGAACUCCGCCAUGCAGAUGCUGAUUAGUGACCGUGGUUUGGUGUAUUAAUAUUUAAGAGCUGAACUGCCAGUUCAAGGGGCGUCUGGCCUUUACUUUAACAAAGCAUUCAAAGGACAUGUUUGACAGAGCGGCCUGCGUCAUUUGCUGCCGUCCCUCCAGGCUCCUGAACAGAAAGCAGAGUGGCUCAGACGACAUCAGACAUGACAACUCACAUGCAGCAUCAUAACAAGUGAUGACGACACAUGCCCCGGCAUCCAGCAACACUCCGCAUGGAAUCCUAUGGGAUUGAUGGACACAGGAAUCAUGGUCAUGGUCCAGCAGGUGUGAUGGAUCUUGAUCUGCAGGUUUAAGGUGUGUUCAAAGUGAAAAAGCAACUCUGAUGCUUUUAAAUUUUAGCAAAAGCGUAUC